AAACCAUUUUUCCCCCUGAGUCUAGGCGAUAAAAAAGGAAGCCCGGCGCAAUAGAAAAAGUACCGCAAGGGAAAGCUGAAAGAGAGAUGAAACAGACCAGUAAAGCUUAACAAAGCAGAGAUUAAGACUCGUACCUUUUGCAUCAUGAUUUAGCUAGAACCUUCAAGCAAAGAGAACUAAAAGUUUGAAACCCCGAAACUGAGUGAGCUACUCCAAGGCAGCCUAAAUUGUAGGGCAAACCCGUCUCUGUGGCAAAAGAGUGGGAAGAACUUUUGAGUAGGGGUGACAGACCUACCGAACUCAGUGAUAGCUGGUUGCUCAUGAAUUGGAUAGAAGUUCAGCCUCCAAGCUUUCCUUAGUCGCACCCACAGGGUACCCUGUAUACAUUAUGGAUGCAAACGAAAUCUUGGAAGGUUAGUCAAAGGGGGUACAGCCCCUUUGAAACAAGACACAACUUUUACAGAAGGAUAAAGAUCAUACUUCACCAAGGAUUAAUGUCCUAGUGGGCCUAAAAGCAGCCACCUUAAAUAAUAGCGUUAAAGCUUAAACAUGAACUCCUCCCCAGAUACCGAUAACACAUCGUCAAUCCCCUAACACCUAAUGAGCCGCCCCAUGCCACACAUGGGAAUGACCAUGCUAAUAUGAGUAAUAAGAGGGCAGCUACAGCCCUCUCCCCGCACAAGUGUAAAUCGGACCGGACCAACCACCGAAUAUUAACGGCCCCAAUUAAAGAGGGCAUUGGAGAACACUAUAAUCAACCAGAAGAACAUCCAACUUAAUCCCGUUACCCCCACACUGGUGUGCACUUAAGGAAAGACCCAAUGGGGAAGAAGGAACUCGGCAAAUAUGACUGAAAGCCUCGCCUGUUUACCAAAAACAUCGCCUCUUGCAACGCACAAUAUAAGAGGUCCUGCCUGCCCAGUGACAGUUUGUUUAACGGCCGCGGUAUUCUGACCGUGCUAAGGUAGCGUAAUCACUUGUCUUUUAAAUGGAGACCCGUAUGAAUGGCAAAACGAGGGCUUAACUGUCUCCUUCCCCAAGUCAAUGAAAUUGAUCUCCCCGUGCAGAAGCGGGGAUUAUACCAUAAGACGAGAAGACCCUAUGGAGCUUUAGACAAAUGAUUGAACCAUAUUCCCUAAAACCUUGCUACAGGACUAAAUUUGAUGGCCCCUCUCUCAAUGUCUUCGGUUGGGGCGACCAUGGGGAAAAUAAAACCCCCACGUGGAAAGGGGCCAUAAACGCACGAUCACAACCCCUCAGGACAGGGCGACAGCCCUACCUAGCAGAAAUUCUGACCAAACUGAUCCGGAUAACCCGAUCAACGAACCAAGUUACCCUAGGGAUAACAGCGCAAU
rnacentral:rRNA from 1 species